CGUUGCGCUUCGCGCUCGCCUUUCACUGUUCGUCGUCCCCCGCGUCGUCCUUUCUCUUCUCCUAUUUUAUGUGUGCGAACCGUACCUUAAUUCUCCAUUUGGCGAUUUUUUUCUUCUUUUCCAACCCCACUGAACACUGAUAUGAAAUAUCGUGCUGUGCGAUUUUUGGGCUAAACAGUCUCAUUCAUCCCAUGGCAAGGAUUCUGCCAAAAAGGAUUUUAAUAGUCAGAUAAACUUGUUCCGAGAUGUUUUAGAAAUUUUUCAGAGAGGAAGAACCACUGAAGCUGAAGCAAAAUUUGAGAAGCUCUUGAGAAGAAUAAAUGUAAAAUCUGAAA